rnacentral:rRNA from 1 species
AAAUAAAUUUUUAUUAAAAAUUAUGGUUAGUUUAUAUUGUAUAAAAAAAUAUAUAUUUUAUUAAGUUAAUAAAAAAAAUUGUUUUAAUGAUAGUUAAUAGUAUUGUGGGAGAAAUUAUAUUUUAUUUAACAGAAAAGUUUAUUUUUUGUACCUUGUGUAUCAGGGUUUAAUUAAUUUAUAGUAGGUAUUUAUUAAUCUCGAAUUUGAAAGGGUGAAAAAUUUAAUUUUUUUAUUGUUAAAUAAAUAUUUAAAAUAAGUUUUUAGUAAUGAAAUGUUAUUCGUUUUCAAUAAUAUCUAGUUUUUUAAGAAAAAAAUUUAAUUUUAUUAUUAUAAAUAUUUAUUUUUUUAUAUUAGUUGGUUAUUAAUAAUAAUAAAAAAUUUUAGGGAUGAGCUUAAAAUUUAAGUUUUAUUAAAAUUUAGGUUGUAUUUAAAAAUUAGAAUUAGAAAUUUUUAUAUUUUUAUAUAUGUUAUUAUUUAUGUUUAUUUAAAUAUUAUUUAUAUUUUUUAUAAAUUAUUUAUUAAAAUUUAAGUUUAAAUUAUAAAAAUUUAGUAAUUAUGUUAAAAUUAGUAUAAAUUGUUAUAGGGAUAAUAUAAAUUUUUAUAUAAUAUGAAGGAAUUCGGCAAAUUAAUUUUCACCUGUUUAUUAAAAACAUGUCUUUUUGUUAUAAAAUAUAAAGUCGGGCCUGCCCCCUGAAAUUUAAAUGGCCGCGGUAUUUUGACCGUGCUAAGGUAGCAUAAUCAUUAGUUUUUUAAUUGAAAACUGGAAUGAAGGGUUUGAUGAGAAAUUAGCUGUCUCCAUAUUAAUAAUUAAAAUUUUAUUUUUAAGUUAAAAAGCUUAAAUUGUAUUAAAAGACGAGAAGACCCUAUAGAGUUUAAUUUAUUAUUAUUAAUAUUUUUAUAGAAUUAAUUUUAUAUUAAUAAUUGUAAAUUUAAUUGGGGUGAUUGAAAAAUUUAAUUAACUUUUUUUUUAUUAUUAUAUUUAUAGAUAAGUAAUUGAUCCAAUAAAAUUGAUUAUAAGAUUAAAUUACCUUAGGGAUAACAGCGUAAUUUUAUUGGAGAGUUCAAAUUAAUAAUAAAGAUUGCGACCUCGAUGUUGGAUUAAAAUUAAUAAUAGGUGUAGAAGCUUAAUAAUUAAGUCUGUUCGACUUUUAAAAUUUUACAUGAUCUGAGUUUAAACCGGUGUAAGCCAGGUUGGUUUCUAUCUUUAAUUUAUUAUUAUAUUUUAGUACGAAAGGACCAAAUAUAUGAAAUAUUUUUUUGUUUUGAUAUAAAUU